AUUGAACGCUGGCGGCAGGCUUAACACAUGCAAGUCGAGCGAGCGGAGGGCGGGAGAAUAGUGUAUGGAAAACGGCCUGAUGGGGGGGGAUACCUACGGAAAAGGGUAGCAAAUACCGAAUACCCUCAGAUGUGCACAGAUGGGAUUCGCUUGUGGGUGGGGGAAUGGCUCACCUAGGCGACGAUCCCUAGCUGGUCUGAGAGGAUGACCACCCACACUGGAACUGAGACACGGUCCAGACUCCUACGGGAGGCAGCAUUGGGGAACAUUGCACAAUGGGCGCAAUCCGGACGCAGCCAUGCCGCGUGGUUGAAGAAGGCCUUCGGGUUUUAAAGCAUUUUCAGCGAGGAGGCGUUACCCGCAGAAGAAGCACCGGCUAACUCCGUGCCAGCAGCCGCGGUAAUUC
rnacentral:rRNA from 1 species